rnacentral:lncRNA from 1 species
GGUAAGAUCAAUUACAUAGUUUGUAGUUUAUCUUAUAUGUGCUUUAGGAUACGUGAAAUUGGAUAAGUAGCAUAUUCCAAGAGGCCCACCCCAGAUGUUGUGCUCUAGUAACCUCACUGGAGGAUUUUUAUUCUAAGCCACUGCUUUUUGGGAUUAAAGUUACUUUUCCAGUUAGCAUGGAUACUCAAGUUCAGAUGGUACAUACAUAUUUACAAGACACAUAUAUGCGUGUGUGUUUAGAAGGAAAAGGAGAAGAAAAGGUCCUACAUGAAGGGUAACAAAAACACCUAAGCAGAACCUUUGGUGAACAGGAAGCAAUAGGAGUUAUAUAUCAGGAUUGUGAGUUUUGAGUUUUUGAAACUCUGUUGUUGUGUUUGGUGUAUGGAUGGGUGAUGACUUCCCAAGAUGGGGG